rnacentral:rRNA from 1 species
GAGGAAUAUUGGUCAAUGGACGAGAGUCUGAACCAGCCAAGUCGCGUGCAGGAAGAAUGUCCUAUGGAUUGUAAACUGCUUUUGCAGGGGAAUAAAGUGCAUCACGUGUGAUGUUUUGUAUGUACUCUGCGAAUAAGGAUCGGCUAACUCCGUGCCAGCAGCCGCGGUAAUACGGAGGAUCCGAGCGUUAUCCGGAUUUAUUGGGUUUAAAGGGUGCGUAGGCGGGAUAAUAAGUCAGUGGUGAAAGUUUGCAGCUUAACUGUAAAAUUGCCGUUGAAACUGUUAUUCUUGGGUGCGGAUGAGGUAGGCGGAAUUUGUGGUGUAGCGGUGAAAUGCAUAGAUAUCACGAGGAACUCCGAUUGCGCAGGCAGCUUACCAAGCCGUAACUGACGCUCAAGCACGAAGGCGUGGGGAUCAAACA